rnacentral:rRNA from 1 species
UGCAAGUCGAACGCUCACCUUCGGGUGGGAGUGGCAGACGGGUGAGUAACACGUGGGAACGUACCCUUUGGUUCGGGACAACUCUGGGAAACUGGAGCUAAUGCCGGAUACGCCCUUUUGGGGAAAGGUUUACUGCCGAAGGAUCGGCCCGCGUCUGAUUAGCUAGUUGGUGGGGUAACGGCCUACCGAGGCGACGAUCAGUAGCUGGUCUGAGAGGAUGAUCAGCCACACUGGGACUGAGACACGGCCCAGACUCCUACGGGAGGCAGCAGUGGGGAAUAUUGGACAAUGGGCGCAAGCCUGACCCAGCCAUGCCGCGUGAGUGAUGAAGGCCUUAGGGUUGUAAAGCUCUUUUAUCCGGGACGAUAAUGACGGUACCGGAGGAAUAAGCCCCGGCUAACUUCGUGCCAGCAGCCGCGGUAAUACGAAGGGGGCUAGCGUUGCUCGGAAUCACUGGGCGUAAAGGGCGCGUAGGCGGCGUUUUAAGUCGGGGGUGAAAGCCUGUGGCUCAACCACAGAAUGGCCUUCGAUACUGGGACGCUUGAGUCUGGUAGAGGUUGGUGGAACUGCGGGUGUAGAGGUGAAAUUCGUAGAUAUUCGCAAGAACACCGGUGGCGAAGGCGGCCAACUGGACCGGCACUGACGCUGUGGCGCGAAAGCGUGGGGAGCAAACAGGAUUAGAUACCCCUGGUAGUCCACGCUGUAAACGAUGAAUGCUAGCUGNUUGGGAUGCAUGCAUCUCAGUAGCCGCAGCUAACGCAUUAAGCAUUCCGCCUGGGGAAGUA